GCUGUAGCCCUGACUUUGUUGAGGGAGUUGUAUCACAGCAGUGAUAGUGAUGGCGAGCAGUGGAAAGCGUUCUGCAAAGCGCAAGAUUGACCAGGUGACCGUGGAUACCAUCAAAUCGGCUAGACCAUUCCAGCCAACACCGGCCAAAAGAGCUCCGCCCGCUUUGGCUCCUGGAUCAACCCCGGCUUUAACAUCUCAGCCGGAGGACAUGGAGGUGGAGGGGAGACAAUUCCCUGAUGAUAUCGACAUGGAUGAUCUGGAGCCAAAGCGGAAGAAAUUCGCAUAUGAUGCGGAUGGAGCCUGUAUAAUGACCGAUAUGAGCUGGAUAUGGAAAAGGAGAAGAUAGAUCUACUUCUCCCGGAACAUCUGUAACAUCUAUUGGGGAACUCUUUUGAGUUUCCCAAUAACAUCUAUAACAUUUGAGACUCUCCUGAAGACUCAUGCGUUGAGGAGACCUCAGUGUAGUAGAUUAGCAGCACCCGGCACAUCUGAUGCAGCGCCUUCCAGCCUCUCCACAGAGAAGAAAUCACUGGGCUUCGAUCUCAGAACAUUUUAAGAUCCAGCGCCUUCCAGCCUCGCCAUAGAGAAGACAUCACUGUGCUCCGAUCUCAGAACAUUUGAAGAUAGAGCGCCCUCCAGCCUCUACGCAGAGAUGACAUCACUGUGCACAAGUCUCAGAACAUCUUACAUUUUGAGAUUUAAUAUCUUCAUACACACCAGAAGAGUAAACGAAAUUUCAUGAGUUAUGGAACUUCUAAGAAUUCUUCAAUAGUGUUACUUGCAAUAACCUUUUAGAGACAUGGAGUGGCGGAUCUACGCUUUGGCGAAGCGGGGUUACUAAAGCGUAGGUCCACUGAUGAGCGCCUGCACUGUGGAGGGAGAAAGGCACGGGCCGACUGUUUCGGAGAUCGCAGUGUUGGACAGAGGUUAGUAUGAGUUUUUAUUUUUUUCUCCUGGCAUGGUGGAGAUUGGGAAAGCUAUUGAUUACCUACAUAGCUACUUGAUUACCAGGCCACAUUCCUGGCUACCUACUUACCUAAGUACCUAACUGGCUAUCUACCCAUCUUCAUACGUACCCACCUAGCUACCUGGAUACCUACCUACCUGCUUAGUUACCUGGAUAACUAAAUGUAUACCAACCAGCUUACACAUC